AGUUCAAAACUGAAUCUUUUACAAUAAAUUUGAUCUGUGUUCCCUGUGCCUUUUCUCUAAUUUUUAGCCAAAUGCAAACUCUUGUCUUCAGAUUUGGAUAUUCUUUCUUUAGUGGUUGAGCAUUUGUCAAAGCAGCUUUCUAAAUCCUUCAUUUAACUCUGAAUGCAGAGCUUCUGUUUUCAUUUUUUAUAUCCGUCUUCAGGCAUUUCCAAGUUGAUUUAGUGUGGUCUCUGCUUUUACCGCAAAAUUUAAUGUUUUUCAUUACAGAUGCUCUCUCCUUUAUUUCCACUGAUAGAUAAGACCCUUAUUUAUUUACUACUUUGGAUCACAAUUUAGAUGUUCCCUAUAACUUUAUAAAUACAUAUAUAUAUAGACAGAUAUCAACAUAUUGCUUUCAUGUAGUUUUCAUCAGAAAGGCUGAGUGCUAGGUCAGUGGAGUGUCUUCAGCAUGUAUCAGUACACACAGGCUAUAGAUCAAGUAGUUCUUACUUUCAAAGUACUCUUUAACUUUAGGAAGUUUUUACAUAAAUUCUUGAUGGAAAAUAUGUCCCAGAAAAAAAAAAAAGAAAGAGAUCUUGAUGUCAGGGAACUAAAUAGUAGCCAGUGUUCCCUGAGAUCCGAUGUCUGUCGUUUGAGUGCUUAACCACAAAUCUUUAAUUUAGUCCUACUAAGAGAACUCAUUAAUAUUAGACAAAUUUCAUUCUUUACAUGAGUUAUAGAAUAAUAAAACUAGGAAUAAUUUACAGUGGAUAAUUUACUUUUAAAGUGCAUUUGACAAAUUUCGCUGCUUUUUCAGUUUGUGGAAUACCAACUAGUGCUUAUAGGUCUCUGAUAAGGACAUGAGGUAAGAAAGGAUGUCCUGGGUAAUGGGGAGCAGCUACAGCCUCCUGGGUAACAACUCUCUGCUGUUGCUGGCAGCCAUCUCAUAUCAUUCCUUUUAGGAACUUAUCCAGUUUGAUCUUAAAAGUAGUCUAGCUGCUCUCUUCUCUGGAAAUUAGAAACCUUCUUUUAAUUUUCCAGUCUAAUCUUACCCAAGACUACACUUUUUUUUUUUUUAAAUCAUUCUUGAAUGAACUUCUGUUUUUCAGCUUUGCUAGCUCUUUGUCUUCUCUAGUGUAUACUUGUUUCUCAGCAUUGGUUUGCUAAAUUAAGCAACCCUCAUCUAAAUCUUCUUUCUGUUUGCCAGACCGUCCUAGGAACUCUUUCUCUAUCUGUUCAGAUUUCUUACUUUUAUUAUGAUUUUACUUAAUUCAGCAGUUUUUUCUAACUUCAGAGACCAAUCACAAGCAGUUGCUAAGUGUUUAAUAAUCAACAUUCACUGCUGUUUUGUCUCAAGUAUUGUUUCUAUUCAUAAUCUUUCUCUAAGCCUUUCUUUUUAUUGUAGCUUACCUAGAAUCUAUUGAUUUUACAGAAUUCAAUGGGCUGAACCCAACUCAUAAUAAAAGGAUAGAAAAUGACCCAUUGUUUUAUCUUCUGGAGGUAUAAUACUUGCAGAACUACUAGACAAGUAAAAUAAGGCAAUUUUAGAACCAUUUAAAGAUUUUUUUGUCUGGGUCAUACAUAUCUUGCCCAAGGUUAUUCCUCUAGAAAUCAUCUUGUUUUUAUACAAAUUUAUGAUGGGUGAUGAUUUAAAAUAUAUACAGUCUACCCUUUGUGUCUAGCCAGUCCUAUUUCUAUUAAACCUUUGUUUCAACCUUUCUGCAUGUUCUUCCUGUUACCUGCUAUAAAAUUGCUAGGUAGCAAUGGCUGGAUGAAUUAUUGCUGACCGAUUUCAAUAGUAUUUUGCUUAUAAAAUUAACUUGUUUGCCCUGUUACUUGCAUGUUUAGCUACUCUAUAGUUGGCUGUUUCCUUUUCCCAAGUAUUGAUACUUGAUUUCAAGUUGAGUGAGUGCAGCACCUUGCAAUAAAUGAAAAGCUGCCAAGAGGAAAUGUGGUUUCUAGUGGUGAUCUUGUCAUCAGUAGAUCACAGACCAAGGCAUGGUUUGCAUUUGGUGUAAAGGGCCAGAGGGCAGGAGAAGGAUUUGGCACUGAUCUGCAAACUUACGAAGUAAAGACCUAACUAAGAGAGAAAAUGAGGCAGAAAGCAGUUGUGCAUGUUUCUCUUCUGUGCAGCACUUCUUGGGUGUCUGACAUUAUUGGUGUUGUCCUUGUUCUUUCUCUAUAUGUUUGCUAUAGUUGCUUGAUGAACCAAAUUAUGUUUUAUAUAUUUUAUCAAAAAGGCAAAGGAGAGAAGAUAAUUAGCUCUGUUUUUCCUGUGUAAUCCAGCAAACAAGGUACCACAUAGUACCAGUGAUCAAAAAAGGUUUUGAUGAAGGGAAGAAGCAAUUUUAAGAAAACUAUUUUGCAAGUAAAUGCAGAAGGUCAGACUCUGCAGGUGAGAAAAUUGUAGCUUUUCCCUGCUGAAAGCAGAGGGAAAGCUGAUCCUCCUAUCAUGGCUUGGGAAAUAUUGCUGUGCUGGAGCGUGCCUUCGUAGUUGGCUGGUGUACUGAGAGCUCCCCCUCCUGUUUCAUUCUACAUCUAAGUGCUUGCAGAUCUACCACCUCUAACUCACAAAUUUCUGAUUUCUUUCAUUUAUUCUGUAGUAUGAUAUACCAGCGCAGAGAACACUUUUCAGUGCCAGUGGAUUUCUACAAGCUUAAGUUGUAAGCCCAACCUAAGACGGUGGGGAGGAGGGGAUGCUGCCCAAAACGGUCAGGUACUAUUCCACAUACAACCAUAGUUUUCCCACAUUUGACUUUAGGUUUAUAGCAUUAACUUUUCUAUUUCUGUUUUGUAACUGUAAGAUGAGGACCAUAAAAUUUCAUCCUCUGAGGAAUUUAAUAAAAAAAAGUUGACAAUUUUAUUUUUCAGGUUAAAAAAAAAAAAUAAAAAUUCUUGGAUGACCAGAUUUAAGAAAUUUCCCCAGCUCAGAUUCAAGAAGGAGCACUAUGGAACCCCAUGGAAAAGCAAUCUGUAUUGAGGAGGAGCAAACUGUGACUAUGAGGGAAAGUACAUUGAAAGGGAUUUGAUACAUGCUGUUGGAAAUUUUCUGUUGUUACCAUGUCCACAAUAUAGAAACUGAAUUGUCUGAGCUACAGGUAAUGAUACAGAAUGACAUCUAUUUUGUGGAAAGCUGCUCAAUUUUGUAAACAAAAAUAAAAUGUAUCCACAGCCACCUAAGACAGAGAGAUGAUCUUUUCUGCAGACUUUAUUUCAAGAAUGAGCAAUAGUAUUUUCCAUGAGGCUUAAUACUGAUAUCGUAUAGGCUCUUAAUUCACAGUAUGGAAGACCAUAGUUGGUGUGUGCAUCCUUUGUAAUGGCUUGAUUUCACCGGGUACCUCACAGCAAAUGAACAACUGCAAGGAGCCUGAAAGGUUGCUAAAGGAGAAGAAUUCCUAUCAGUCAUAUCAGUAAUUUUUCAUUUCCUUGAAGCAAAAGAAGAUUCUGGAAAUAACCUGCUAGUAAAGAGAAGUGAUGAAAGAAAGACACUUGCUUUUGUGGAACAGUGUUCACUUUUGUGUAAGAAAUGAGGGUUAUGCAGUUUGAAUGUCAAUAGAAGGAAAAUCAAGAUUAAAUAUCUCCAAGCAUAUGUAACACUCACAUUACUUGUGGUAAGACAGCAUAAAAAUUUACGAAAUUUUGAAGUGGUUCAUCCAACAGAAAAGAAUUUUGUAUCUCUUUGUGACAAAAAAAAAAAAAAUCAGAAAAUUUAAAAAAAGUGUCUGCAGAGGUACCAGUGCUUAUGAUGGUUUUAUUUGUACAGGCAGAAUAAAGCUCCAACCAUUAGUUAAUACAAUAUUUAGACAUUGUCCUUUAAAGCUAAAAGUUAGAUUGCUAUAAAGAAUAUUCUGUAUCAUUUGAUAGGACAUUUCACCAUUUCUCCUUUCUUCCCUUUUGUAUUUUACUUUCUGGUGUCCGUUUACCUUUUCCUUUUAUUCAUAAAGAUCCCUUUGCCUGCUUUUCACUGCUUUCCUGCUCUUUUGCAUCCUCCCUCCAGGUUUGUCUUCUGAAUUAAAUACUUCUAUUUUGUUUCCUCACAGUAAACACAUUUAUCAAAAGAAAACUGACAUGAGGCAGGAGGAUGGAGGCUAGAGUCAUAUAAUCUUCCCUCUCUGUGGAAGGUACUGAAGAAAGUGCAGAAGAAUGAAUUUCCAAAAAUUAUAAGUAGGGUUCGUGAUGUUCCAGAUUGUCUGAUGGUUCAUUUUUCAAGCAUUUUUGCAAACUUUUUUUCCCUGUUGAAGUUCUUCUGGAAAACAACUGAAUUAGUUCCUCUCUGUGAGUGUGAAGACAAGCUUUUCUCAGUGAAUCCAUGUAAAAAAAGGAAGGAGUCAAGGGUUUUGUUUCUUUCUUUUUAUAUUUAAUUUCCAAACAGGCUCUGCUUUUCCUGUUCACCCUUGCUGUACUGCCUUUCAUAGCCUUGCAGGAGAUUGAGGCAACCUUUUGAAAGCUGUGGGAAUGGGUGGGUUGUAAAACAAGUUCUGGUGACAUGAGAACUCAGCAAAUCAUCAUCUGAGAGCUGAGACUGGGUGCCUUCUAACCAGCACCGAUGUCUGGAAGGAAGCAGGGCCUCAGGAAGGAUAUGGUGAUGCUGGGGCUUGCAAAGCACAUUGUGUCUAGAACUGCAAUUGAGACAUUUCAUUGCUUUAAGAUUGUGUUUCGGUUUUGUCUGUAGAAAGAAAGAUUAUACUUGCUUUAGGACUGAUACUUCAGGCUUGAUAGCCCAUGUGUGUUUCUGACUCCUUCAUUGCUGUCAAGUAAAUAUGAUGCCAGUGCCUCCCAGGAGCUGGGGACCCUAAAGUCUCAGACUCUUAUGAAUGAAAAAUCUGCUUUAAAACAACUCUAUUUAAAGAUAGUUACACUAGUGGAUCUCACAGAAGAAAAGGUGAUUACAUCCUCUGAAUUGUCUGGCUUUUAGGUAUGUUUCCUAGAGGAAGUGCUAGUACAUGAACUACUACUCUACUUUUUUGUAGUUCACCUUUUUCCUAGAACUGCAGCCUACCCACAGGCAUCACCAGCUCACACACAAAAAGGAGUGUUUCUGGACUCCACUGCUGCAAGAUUGCAUAAUUGCUUAUGCAAUCUAGACUGUGAGGACAGGAGGAUAAGACUCCUUCAUUGUCAUUGUGAGUAGGAUAUGCAGAGGAGUUAUGGCUAAAUAGCAGCAGCCAAUGAAGCAUCUGUAUUUGGCUGGCCAUUCAAAUGGAUGAAAAGGAGGAUUUUUUUCCCUACUUCAUUAACGUAAGCAAUUAUGUGUUGUCUCUGCUGGUUGCUAUGUGCAGAUUACAGAUAACAUAGGGCAGAAAACUGUGGGAAGAAGGUAAGCAACUGUGUGAAACAGAGGGAGAAUUAUAUUGGAAGGUAGCUUUGGGAGGAUGAGAAAGAGGAAAGGGAAAAAGAUCAUUACCCUCAAGGUUAAAGAGCAAUUCAAGACCUCUUCCUAUCAACCAUGAUUAGGAUGGUAGGGGGAUGCUCUUAUUUAUUGCUGUUAAUUUGUCUGCUUUUUUUCUGGUACAUAAUAAUUCUCCAUGCUGUUGGAUACAGACUAGGAAAUAAACAUCCCCUAUGGUUUUAAAAGCCAUAAUGCAUGCGAUGUAACAAUGAUUUCUUGUCAACUUUAUGUUUUUUCAUUUAAGUCAAAUGACUAAAAACACUGACCCUGGUCAUGCUGACCCUGACUCCUGGUUUCUGACUUUAUGCUUACUGAUAUGAGUUCCAGUGUGAUGGACCAGCCCCAGCCGUGUUUCACAGGCUGCAAAGUAAUUGUUUUGUCCACCCAUAUAGGAAACUGCACAGAGUGAAAUGGGCUGAAGUCUUGCAGAUUGAAAGUAUUCACUCACUCCCUGCCUUCCCUUUAAAGUAGGCUAAUAGCUUUCUGUCAGAGAAAACCCAGCUAUGGCUUGGGGGAGAGUUCACUUUGAAGGCACCUCAUUAUAUGGAAAAUAGACAAGAUUUCAAUAAACUUGGUCAUUUGACACUCCUGGCAAGAUUUUCACUCUCAAACACCUGAAAUGCCUUCAUAUCAUGCCCCAGGACCUGUAAAAACUUCCUUUGUAUGUGACAUACAGCUGUUGUGCUGGUGGGCAGAAUUGUUGAUCUCACAAUAUUUUAAACUCUGAACUGGGAAAAAAAAAAACAUGCACACAAAAAAUUCUGUGUUCUAAGGCCACCAAAAUGCAGUGGAAGGGAGACCCAUAGGAAGUGCCAUGCAGUGUGGAUGAGGCCAGUCUACUGUAGAUGGGGACAGCCAAGAAAUGUAUGUGAAGGCACACUGCAGCACCUGCUCAGGGGUGAAUGAUUGUUCCCUGGGACAGAUGCAUUUAGCCAUGUAGGUAUAACAAACUGUCUAGCUCAGAGUCGUGUCUCCAAUGACAGCUUGAGGUGGAGGAAUGAGGUGUAUGCAUUUUAAUAAAAUUUGGAGUGAUACCUCUCCUUGUAUGUGUUCCCUGUCCUAGUUUGCUUGUGCUUUCUACCUUCAAUUUUAAAUAGACCUAUCACUUCUGGGGCUGACCUUGGACAUUCGUAGAGACAGGUCUAUUUCUCUUUGUUAGGAAAUAUUUUUCAGAUAAAUUAUACUGGUCUUUCUGAAACUUUGUGAUAUCCUAAAAUUCUGUAGGAGUUUUAGAAGACUGAAAUCUUUUAUGACUCCUGUAAAUAUAGUUUCCUAUUACAUUGAUAUUUUUUCUACUGAAAUGUUAAUUUCACCUAAAAAAUUAACUUGGACAACCAAUAAGGAGGGUACAUGUAUACCUUUACAGACUGAUUAAUUUGCUCACUAAAACAUAAGCAGAAGAAUUGUAGUUUCUUUAGUUUAAGUCUUGUCAUUGCCUUAUUUAAUACUGUGCUCAUGGCACUUCAUUUUAACAGUAACAUGGGCUCAGCCUUUGCACAGCUGCACAGUCACUGUAACAUAGGGCACAGCAUUGCCUCCAUUUUUGAAAACGCAAACCCAGCUGACUCAGACCAAAUGCCCACGGUCAUAAAAACAACCCUAGAAGUGCAAUACAUUUCUCAUGACUCUCCUGAAAGGUACAAAAAAUAUGGAACAUGAGAUUGUUUCUAUUUCUAGGCCCAAAAUCAAGAAAUAAGAAUGACAGCAAGCUGAGUGACAGCUUUACAUGAAAUAAUAGAGUUAUAGGAGGGAUCCUCAAAAAAAGAAUAGGUUGAUUUUUACAUAGAGGCCAUUAUGAAAAUUCUUUGUGAAAAGAAAAUUAGUGUCUCCGUUUCUGGGUUGAGAGUUGAGAAACCAGUGGAGCUAGCAUAGUAAUAAGGCAUUUUAGAAUGUCUAUUAUUAGGAUAUCAAUGCAUCUUGUGUAUUGAAGCAACAAAUCCAAGUGUGAAGUUCUUCAGACAUGUAACAAGUAUCUCAAAAGACUGCUAUCGUAGAAUAAAUCAAAUAAUACAUUCCUGGAAGGACCUCAUGUUUCUUAAAGUAGGAUUUAUACAUUCUGUGUUUGGGUUUUUUGCCAUAUUUAUAUGUAUCUGUGAUAACAGGGGGGUUGGAACUAGGUGAUCGUAAGGUACUUUUCAACCCUAACUAUUCUAUGAUUCUGUGAUCUUUGUAAAGGCUCUGCUGGAAUACUUGAAAUAUGCUUCCUUAUAAAUAAAAAUUAAAAGGUUAAAAAUAAA